rnacentral:rRNA from 1 species
UAGAAUUCCACGUGUAGCGGUGAAAUGCGUAGAGAUGUGGAGGAAUACCGGUGGCGAAGGCGGCCUUCUGGACAGAUACUGACGCUGAGAUGCGAAAGCGUGGGGAGCAAACAGGAUUAGAUACCCUGGUAGUCCACGCUGUAAACGAUGUCGAUUUGGAGUUUGUUGCCUAGAGUGAUGGGCUCCGAAGCUAACGCGAUAAAUCGACCGCCUGGGGAGUACGGCCGCAAGGUUAAAACUCAAAUGAAUUGACGGGGGCCCGCACAAGCGGUGGAGCAUGUGGUUUAAUUCGAUGCAACGCGAAGAACCUUACCUGGUCUUGACAUCCACAGAAUCUUGCAGAGAUGCGAGAGUGCCUUCGGGAACUGUGAGACAGGUGCUGCAUGGCUGUCGUCAGCUCGUGUUGUGAAAUGUUGGGUUAAGUCCCGCAACGAGCGCAACCCUUAUCCUUUGUUGCCAGCGAUUAGGUCGGGAACUCAAAGGAGACUGCCGUUGAUAAAGCGGAGGAAGGUGGGGACGACGUCAAGUCAUCAUGGCCCUUACGACCAGGGCUACACACGUGCUACAAUGGCGUAUACAAAGGGAGGCGACCUCGCGAGAGCAAGCGGACCUCAUAAAGUACGUCUAAGUCCGGAUUGGAGUCUGCAACUCGACUCCAUGAAGUCGGAAUCGCUAGUAAUCGUGAAUCAGAAUGU